AAUGAUGCAUAGCCGAUGUGAGAGACUGGCCGGCCGCAUUGGGACUGAGACACGGCCCAAACUCCUACGGGAGGCAGCAGUAGGGAAUCUUCCACAAUGGACGCAAGUCUGAUGGAGCAACGCCGCGUGAGUGAAGAAGGUUUUCGGAUCGUAAAGCUCUGUUGUUGGUGAAGAAGGAUAGAGGUAGUAACUGGCCUUUAUUUGACGGUAAUCAACCAGAAAGUCACGGCUAACUACGUGCCAGCAGCCGCGGUAAUACGUAGGUGGCAAGCGUUGUCCGGACUUAUUGGGCGUAAAGCGAGCGCAGGCGGAAGAAUAAGUCUGAUGUGAAAGCCCUCGGCUUAACCGAGGAACUGCAUCGGAAACUGUUUUUCUUGAGUGCAGAAGAGGAGAGUGGAACUCCAUGUGUAGCGGUGGAAUGCGUAGAUAUAUGGAAGAACACCAGUGGCGAAGGCGACUCUCUGGUCUGCAACUGACGCUGAGGCUCGAAAGCAUGGGUAGCGAACAGGAUUAGAUACCCUGGUAGUCCAUGCCGUAAACGAUGAGUGCUAAGUGUUGGGAGGUUUCCGCCUCUCAGUGCUGCAGCUAACGCAUUAAGCACUCCGCCUGGGGAGUACGACCGCAAGGUUGAAACUCAAAGGAAUUUGACGGGGGCCCGCCACAAGCGGUGGAGCAUGUGGAUUAAUUCGAAGCAACGCGAGACCUUACCAGUCUUGA
rnacentral:rRNA from 1 species